GGGACUAUGGUGUAGUGGUUAGCAUGGCCGACGUGGGUUCAAUCCCUGCUAGUUCCA
rfam:Hypsizygus marmoreus strain 51987-8 scaffold_88, whole genome shotgun sequence.